AUGAAUCCAUGUAAAAACCAUUGUGCAUUGUCACCCCCUCGUCGAUCGUGCGGUUUGGGAACGAAAGAAACGUUUUAACGGUCACUAUUGUAAUUUGAAGACCCAGUUUCUUUUUAGGCUGUCGCCGAGCUUUAGCGAGCGAGAUGACAGCCACCCAAACAAAUUUAUAUCGUCGAGUGUAAUUCGAAUUACAUACUAUUGAUUAACAAUUGAAACCCCCUUUGAUAAAUUGAACUAAUGUUUUCAUACUCCAAUAAAACGGAGAUGAAUUUCUUACGAAACAAAGAACAACUCUUAGCAACGGAUAUCUUGGUUCU
rnacentral:misc_RNA from 1 species